UCCCGUAGCCUUACCACCGACGACGACCUUCCCAGUACGGCCGACUUCCUGUCCAUCCGUCGAAGCCGUCCCCGACUUCCUGUCCGUUCGCCGCACGGUUCCCUGCUUUUUCCCGUCCUCUCUUCUGCACUACGCUGACGGAGCGCACGUCUACCGGCAAGGCCUCAGGAAGGAAAAAAGGAAGCCCGCUACUGCCUCAGGUUUAUCAUUUAAAGGAUGGAUAAAACGGAUGAGACGAUGAGAGACGGAUGAGUGUUUCCCAAAAGUCGUGGACGCAAAAUAUAAGAGGUGAAGUUUAUCUGUAAAAUUUGAGAACAAA